CCUACGGGAGGCAGCAGUGAGGAAUAUUGGUCAAUGGACGAGAGUCUUAACCAGCCAAGUAGCGUGAAGGAUGACUGCCCUAUGGGUUGUAAACUUCUUUUAUAUGGGAAUAAAAUGUUCCACGUGUGCGCUUUUGUAUGUACCUUAUGAAUAAGGAUCGGCUAACUCCGUGCCAGCAGCCGCGGUAAUACGGAGGAUCCGAGCGUUAUCCGGAUUUAUUGGGUUUAAAGGGAGCGUAGGUGGGUUGUUAAGUCAGUUGUGAAAGUUUGCGGCUCAACCGUAAAAUUGCAGUUGAAACUGGCAGUCUUGAGUACAGUAGAGGUGGGCGGAAUUCGUGGUGUAGCGGUGAAAUGCUUAGAUAUCACGAAGAACACCGAUUGCGAAGGCAGUACACUGGAGUGCAACUGACACUGAGGCUCGAAAGUGUGGGUAUCAAACAGGAUUAGAUACCCCUGUAGUC
rnacentral:rRNA from 1 species